rnacentral:lncRNA from 1 species
GUUAUUGUAUUGCAAUCCAUUGUAUUAUACAUUGAAUCCUGACAUAAAAAAUAUGGCUGAAUUACUAUGCGGGUAUAUAUAUGGUAUAUAGAUUUACAAGUUUAAGUGCACAUAUGGUCAGUUUUGGUGGAAGCGCUCAAAAUAUUUUGUUGUACAAGUCAGCAUGAGGUAUCAAAACACUGUAAUUUUGAAACGUAUCAAUAUUUUGAAUAAAAGGAGGACAUUCUAGCACCCUAAAUGUAUUCAAACACAAAUUUGUUGUUAAUGUAUUGCAAUAUUGCUUGCUGUCCAUUGUCAUGAUUGUAUUGUACAUUGAAUCCUG